UACGGGGGGGGGCAAGCGUUGUUCGGAAUUACUGGGCGUAAAGGGCGCGUAGGCGGCCUUCUAAGUCAGACGUGAAAUACCCGGGCUCAACCUGGGAACUGCAUUUGAAACUGGGCGUCUAGAGUGCAGGAGAGGAAAGCGGAAUUCCUAGUGUAGCGGUGAAAUGCGUAGAGAUUAGGAAGAACACCAGUGGCGAAGGCGGCUUUCUGGACUGUAACUGACACUGAGGCUCGAAAGCGUGGGGAGCAAACAGG
rnacentral:rRNA from 1 species